rnacentral:rRNA from 1 species
UACGGAAGGCAGCAGUGGGGAAUAUUGCACAAUGGGCGAAAGCCUGAUGCAGCUAUGCCGCGUGUAUGAAGAAGGCCUUAGGGUUGUAAAGUACUUUCAUCGGGGAGGAAAAAAACAAAAACUAAAUAAUUUUAUUUCUUGACGUUACCCGAAAAAGAAGCACCGGCUAACUCCGUGCCAGCAGCCGCGGUAAUACGGAGGGUGCUAGCGUUAAUCAGAAUUACUGGGCGUAAAAGAGCAACGUAGGUGGGUUUUUUUAAGUCAGAUGUGAAAAUCCCUGGGCUUAAACCUAGGAACUGCAUUUUGAAAACUGAAAAUACUAGAGUAUCGUAGAGGGAGGUAGAAAUUCUAGGUGUAGCGGUGAAAUGCGUAGAUAUCUGGAGGAAAUACCUGUGGCGAAAGCGGCCUCCUAAACGAAAUAACUGACACUGAGGUGCGAAAAGCGUGGGGAGCAAAACAGGGAAUUAGAUACC